UACAACUUUCAGCAACGGAUCUCUUGGCUCUCGCAUCGAUGAAGAACGCAGCGAAAUGCGAUAAGUAAUGUGAAUUGCAGAAUUCAGUGAAUCAUCGAAUC
rnacentral:rRNA from 1 species